AACGAACGCUGGCGGCGCGUCUUAAGCAUGCAAGUCGGACGGUAAGGAAGGAGCUUGCUUCUUCCCUAGAGUGGCGGACUGGUGAGGAACGCGUGGGUGACGCACCCUCCGGACGGGGAUAGCCGGUAGAAAUACCGGGUAAUACCGGAUAAGAGCGCCUCCUUGGAGGGAGGCGGAGAAAGCGGCUUCGGCCGCGCCGGAGGAACGGCCCGCGUGCUAUUAGCUAGUUGGUGGGGUAACGGCCUACCAAGGCGACGAUCAGUAGCCGACCUGAGAGGGUGACCGGCCACAUUGGGACUGAGACACGGCCCAAACUCCUACGGGAGGCAGCAGUGGGGAAUAUUGCACAAUGGGCGAAAGCCUGAUGCAGCGACGCCGCGUGAGCGAAGAAGUAUUUCGGUAUGUAAAGCUCUAUCAGCAGGGAGAAAAAAUGACGGUACCUGACUAAGAAGCACCGGCUAAAUACGUG
rnacentral:rRNA from 1 species